AAAAUUGACGUGUGUGAAGUUUGGGGGAGGGGAAGAUUUUGACAAACAUUAAGGUCAUAUGAUGUUUUGCAAGGUUAUCCUCUUGUAUUCAAAUUGGUUCCAUCAGUUGGCGUCAUUAUAUUUGCCAUAUGGGGUCUCGCACCACUUAUGCGUCUGAGCAAAAACCUAAUCCUUAGUUUUUUCAUAACCUCCUGCAGAAGAAUGAUAGCAGUUGAAAAAAGAGUAACACACACUAUGUUACGAACUCAUAUAUUCAACCUUUGCUCCUAUGGACGGGAGCAAUGCUCAUUUGCAGGGCAUUGGAUCCAGUUGUUCUACCUACAGAAGCUAGUCAGAGAAGGUCCUCUUGAUAAUUGUCCUUUAAUCAUAAUUAUUCUUUGUUUCCAGAGAACGGGGGAAGAAGGAGGAGAAGAAGAAGAAGAGAGAGAUCAGAAACUCUUGCUUGCUUAAGA